rnacentral:rRNA from 1 species
GACGAACCGUACGAACGUUAUUCGGAAUCAUUGGGCUUAAAGGGUGCGUAGGCUGCGCGGAAAGUUGGGUGUGAAAUCCCUCGGCUCAACCGAGGAAUUGCGCCCAAAACUACCGUGCUUGAGGGAGACAGAGGUGAGCGGAACUUAGGGUGGAGCGGUGAAAUGCGUUGAUAUCCUAAGGAACACCAGUGGCGAAAGCGGCUCACUGGGUCUCUUCUGACGCUGAGGCACGAAAGCUAGGGGAGUAAACGGG